AGAAAGAAAGAAAGAAAGAAAGAAAGAAAAAGAAAGAAGGAAAGAAGGGGAGAUG
rnacentral:ribozyme from 1 species